CUGCGGAAGGAUCAUUGUCGUGACCCUGACCAAAACAGACUGCGCACGCGUCAUCCAAUCCGUCGGCGACGGCACCGUCCGUCGCUCGGCCAAUGCCUCGACCACCUCCCCUCCUCGGAGCGGGUGGGGGCUCGGGGUAAAACAACCCACGGCGCCGAAGGCGUCAAGGAACACUGUGCCUAACCCGGGGGCAUGUCUAGCUUGCUAGCCGUCCCUCGUGUUGCAAAUCUAUUUAAUCCACACGACUCUCGGCAACGGAUAUCUCGGCUCUCGCAUCGAUGAAGAACGUAGCGAAAUGCGAUACCUGGUGUGAAUUGCAGAAUCCCGCAAACCAUCGAGUCUUUGAACGCAAGUUGCGCCCGAGGCCACUCGGCCGAGGGCACGCCUGCCUGGGCGUCACGCCAAAACACGCUCCCAACCACUCUCAACGGGAAUUGGGAUGCGGCAUCUGGUCCCUCGUCUCUCAAGGGACGGUGGACCGAAGAUUGGGCUGCCGGCGUACCGCGCCGGACACAGCGCAUGGUGGGCGUCCUCGCUUUAUCAAUGCAGUGCAUCCGGCGCGCAGCUGGCAUUAUGGCCUUUGAACGACCCAACAAACGAAGCGCACGUCGCUUCGACCGCGACCCCAGGUCAGGCGGGACUACCCGCUGAGUUUAAGCA
rnacentral:rRNA from 1 species